GCUCCGCUGGCGCAAUGGUAGCGCGCCAGACUUCUAUAUGGAUAUCUGGAGGGUAUGGCAACAUCCUCCAACACCGCGCUACAGUUAGAAGAACUAACAAACAAUUUUAGCUGCGAGUUCGAGUCUCGCGCGGAGUG